CCUCACUGUGGAGAAAAUAGACACGGUCACUGUGAUGUGCACCUGCCAGGCACCGCGCCCUGGGAUGCAGUUACAGGUUAAGUUUGUGUGUCAAUCUGCCCGGGCUGUGGGAGGCCCAGACUUCGAGUCUAACAUCAGUUCUGGGUGUGUCUGUGACCAGCAUCUGACUCAGGAGGCAGGGGUAAAGCAGACUGCCUUCCCCAGUGUUGGCUGGGCACCACCCGGUCUGGUGAGGGUCUGAGUACAACAAGAAGGCAGAGGGAGUGUGAAUUCUGUCUGCCUGGCUGUGUGAGCUGGACGUGUGUCUUCUCCUCCCCUUAGACUGGAGCCUGCACAUCGGCCUUCCUGCUUCUCGGGCCCUCAGACUUGGACCUCAGCCUAUGGCAUUGUCCCUCCAGCUCUCAGGCCUUUAGCCCAGACUGGAAUUACAGCAUUGGCUCUCCUGGGUCUGCAGCUUGUGGACAGUGACCCGUGAUUAUGGUCCUCGGCCUCCAUGAUCAUGGUUUUCCAGUUUGGCUUCAUGUGGUGAUUCUAGCUGCCCUGUUUGAAGGACUACAGAUCAUAACUCAAGGUAGCAAGUAUUAGAAAGUAAACAUUAAGAGCAAGUUGUAAAGAUGAUCACUGAACAAAUAUGUUUAUAACUGUUAUGCCACUAAGGCAUAAUAGAGGCAUUUCUGUGUUUCAGCAUUAGUUAACUUUGCUGACUUUCCAAUUAGGGCAUUGGAGGAAGGCACGAGUUUCAGAUCGGUAGAAUGUAUUUGUAGAUAUAGGUGCCUGGAAAUAAUAGGUGAACACUCUAUCAGCCAUAGAGUGUAUUCAUCCAACUUCUCAGUGAGCCUGCAGAAUAGCAGGUGACUUUGGUUGUUUUUGCUAUAACACCAGUUUGAUAACACUAUCUCGCUAUCUUUUUUUCCCAUGGUGAUGACACAGGCUGAAAUAUUAGUAAACCAGAGGGAUCUUACCAGACUAAAAUUUUAAGCACUUAUUGAUAAAGAUGAAACAUAUUCCAUCAACUCUCCAAGAUGAAACACAUUCCAAUCCUGUUAUACAUAAGCUUCAGGAGAUGUCAGUGGCUCAUGAAGUGUAGGGCAAGUAGAAAAGCUCCCUCUAUAUUCCUGAACCUGAGAGACAGCCCCAAAGAUGGAACACUUAGGGAUACUCCAUCCCUACCACCACCUCACCAAAUGCUAGAGCUAGCCAUGCUAAGGAAUGUAUGCUAACAAAGGGCAGUUUGUUCAGGAAGAGAGCCAACUGUGUAAGUGGCUUCAUGAUUAUAAGACUUAUUGAAAAUUUUAAUUAAGUUCUGUUGACUUUUCAUAAGGUUUCCUCUGUACAUUUCCAAUUUGAUUAUAUAUUUGACACCUGAUACCCCCUUGAAGUAAGAUUUGGAGAAAAGUAUAUUGGACCAUGAGUCCUGAUAUCUUGAUAAGAAGAAACAUGAAACUUGGAGCUAGAGUCCAGGAGAUUUGCUUUAAAACACUAUUGCCUUGAUAGGUAAAUUGCUUAUAAAUCCAGUAUAAUGAUUAAAAACAAAAGUUUUUAAAAAAAAAAUAACUAUAGCCACCAUAAUCUGUUAAUGUAUAGACAAGUUAAAAAGAUAUAAAUUGUGACAUCUGAAACAUAAAAUGUAGGGGGGAGGGAGGAGUAAAAAAGGUAUGCAUUCAAACUUUUAAGUUAGAUACUUAAAAUGGUCUGUUAUAAAUAUAAGAUGUUUUAUUUCAGCCUCAUGGUAAAUACAAAGAAAAAACCUGUACUAGAUACAUAAAAGGUAAAGAGAAAAGAAUAGAAGCACACCACUACUACAGAAAAGCAUUAAAUCACAAAGAAAGAGAGCAAGAGAAAAGGAAGGAAAUAAAGGAAUUGUAAAACAGCCAGAAAACAAUGAACAAGAUGGCAAUAGUCUAUAGUCUAUAGGCUAUAAGUCUAUAACUAUCCACAAUUGCUUUAAAUAUAAAUGGACUAUAUUCUCCAAUCAAAAGACACAGAAUGGCUGAAUGGAUGUAAAAGAAGACCUAACACAUGCUGCCUUCAGCUUUUAGGACACACAUAGAUGAAAGUGAGGGGAUGGAAAAGAUAUUCCAUGAAAGCCAAAGAAAGCAGGGGCAGCUAUACUUAUACUAGACAAAAUAGACUUCAAGUUAAAGAGGGAAAGAAAGUCAUUACUUAACAACAAAGUGGUCAAUCCAACAAUAGGAUAUAAUGUUUAUAAAUGUUUAUGCACCCAACACACCAGCACCUAAAUAUAUAAAGCAAAUAUUAAUAGACCUGAAGGGAGAUAGAGAGUAAUACAGUAAUAAUAAGGGACUUCUCUCUCCCUUUUCAACAGUGGAUAGAUCAUCCAGACAGAAAAUGAAUAAGAAAACAUCAAACUUAAACAACACUUUAGCCAGGUGAACUUAGACAUUUACAGAACAUUCCAUCCAACAGCACAAAAUACACAGUCCUCUGAAGUGCACAUGGAACAUUCUCUAGGACAGAUCAUAUGUUAGGCCACAAAAAAAUCUUAAAAUUUAAGGAGACUCAAAUCAUAUCAGGCAUCUUUUCUGAUCAGCAUCACUCAAUCAUAAACAAACAAACAAACAAACAAACACAGAAAUCCUGCCAUUUGCAUCAACAUGGAAGGAAUAUGAGGAGAUCUUGCUAAGUGAAAUAAGCCAGACAGAGAAAGACAAAUACUGCAUGAUGUCACUUAUCUGUGGAUUCUUAAAAAAAAAAAAAAAAAAAAAAAAAAAAAAAAGGAAAAAAAAGUCAAACUCAUAGAAACAGUAGAAAAGUGGUUGUGGGGGGUGGAGUGUGGAAAUAGGUAGAUGUUGCCAAAAGUACAAACUUUCAGAUGUAAGAUAAAUAAGGUCUGAAGAUCUAAUAUAUGACAUAGUAAUUAUAAUUAAUAACAUGGUAUUGUAUAUAUAAUUGGGAUUUGUGGAGAGAGUAGAACAUCAAUAUUCUCACCAAAAAUAAACAAACAAACAACACAAGUAUGUGAGGUGAUAACUGACCUAAUGGAAAAAGGGAGCCCUUUCACAGUGUGUUUGUAUAUUGAAUCACUAUGAUGUAUCCUUUAAAUAUCUUAGAAUUUUAUGUGCCAAUUAUUCCCCAAUAAAGCUGAAAGAAAAGAAUAGAA